rnacentral:lncRNA from 1 species
AUGCCUGCUCCCUGCAGGUCCUUUUGGUCAACAGGAAAACAUCAUGUGUCUUUUUCCUGCCAAAUGCCUUCCCGUCCAGUCGGCCCUCCCUCUCCACCCUGUAACCGCACUGCUCCAGCCAGUCUUCUGCGUUUGGAAUUCUCCAGAUGGGCGCAAGAGCCCAGGUGCAGAUGCCGACAAAUGCUUGCAGAUGCUGGUUGGCUUUCCUUAGAACUCUCUCUGCUUUCCUCUUUGGUCUCCAAGCAGCACCAGCACCUGCGAUGUGAGGGCUCUGUAAACAUCCAGCCAGAAGCAUGUGUUAUCGGUGAUACUACACUCUUUCCAGUGGGGGCAGACCAUCUUUUCCCCCACCCGCCUCCCCAUCACUGCAGUGAAGGAAGCCUGCCGCAAAAGAGAGUAUCCUGUGUGAUUCCAUGUACGUAAAGUACAAAAACAGGAAAAACUUAUCUAUGCUGUUGGCAGUCAGGAUACUUUUUUAAUCCUUUGGGGUGGUGGAUGGAAUGGAGCACAGAGGGAUGCUAGGGGCUGGAAAUGUCCUGGAAAUUAGUUACAAGAGUGUUGUUCAGUUUGGGAAAACUCAUUGAGCUGUACUCUUAUGGUCUGUGCAUUUCUCCAUAUAUUACUCUGAUAGAAAAUUGUUUUUUUUUUUAAAGCUACAACAUGUUUUUUUUAAAAGAUUACAUGUACUUAAAAAUUAUCAUUUUGCCUAGGAAUGUAUAUCUGGCUUGAUCUGGGGAGGCAAUCUUUCUGUCUGCUUUGACAGAAACUUCCAUCAGGAUCACUCAACAGCCUAAAAUGGAUACUUUUAGAAUCAACUCCUAAAAACUCAGCACAGACAUUCAUUAAGCGCCUGCCACAUGGGAGAGGUAGGGAGCUCCAUGUUCUGAUGAUAAGAUACAGAAGCUGCUUCUUUUGCUGAGCUGAGAGGAAAAACUGGCUUAUAAAGCAGUUGAACUGCUUGGGACUUAAUCAUAUGAAACUAGACACUUACCUUUCAGCAAAGAUGGCAGAUAACCUGGAACAUCUCUCCUUUGCUAUUUCUGUGGAGUGUGAAUUUUUUUUGAGGUCACUAACCUUGAGGAAGAUGGGCAGUGUGGGACCUGGGAAGAAGGAGAAAGGGUGGGUGGAAUAGACAGAUGCCAAAAAAAGAAGCGGAGGAAAAGGCAAGAGAGGGGAGAGAAGACAUUGCUUCUUCCAUCUGCGUCAACCAGGGUAGAUGAAGAGAUUAAAUGGAUCCAAACUGUCACUCACGACCACUGAAUAACAGAAAGAACAUCUUUUUGCUCCAAUAAAAAGUGGGAAGGAUGGCA